AUUCAGUGAAUCAUCGAAUCUUUGAACGCACAUUGCGCCCCUUGGUAUUCCAUGGGGCAUGCCUGUUCGAGCGUCAUUUG
rnacentral:rRNA from 1 species